rnacentral:misc_RNA from 1 species
AACAAAGUUGACAUCAAAUCCUGAAAAACUAGGGUAUUAAUUGCCAGAAAUUCUUGCUAAAAUUAAUGAUUGUGCAAGUCCAUUUAACAUGCUACGGCAUGAGGAUAAAAAAAAAUUGAAGUCAGUGGACUUCAAAAGCAGUGUCAGUCAAGAUAACUAUUUAAUCAUUCCUCUUCAAAAGAGAGAAGAGGCAACAUUAGUAUAUUCAGCAUUUUAAGCAUUUACAAAAGAAGAAGAAAGAAACAGUGAUAGCCAAAAGACAAAAAAAGUCUUACCACCAAGUUUACAGUCAAGGA